CCAAUAGAUGGCGAGUGUCCUCGUUUUUCAUGUAAUGGCUGAUUGUUGUGUUGUUGUCAAAAGUUCCUAUUUUUCCACGAAAUUACCGAUUAAUUCUUAAGAUGGAACGCGAAAGGAAGCAUCAGCCUUCGAUCAACCCUUUCAUAAUUGACGUUCUGCUGAAUGCAUCAUCCAGUUAAUACAGGUCACUAAUCCCAGCGUGGACAUGUAUUGUUUUUUUCCGAACGUGUUUUACUACAAAUGUUGCAUUGACAGACAAGGAAAGCUAUGGAAAACAUUAUGUAGGACAUGACAUGAGUAAUCUUAGAAGUCACGUGAAAAGAU